AUCAAGAUGGCCGCCUGGGACCGCUCUCAGCCCCUUCGGCCUCUACCUGAAGAGCCACGCCCCGUCUGCUACACCCAACUGAUUGGUUCCUCAAUCACAGAGAGGAAAGGCAACAUGAGGAUGACGUCAGUUACAAAUAUGGCGUUUUGGACGGGCUCGAUAGUUUGCUUGGCCUCUACUCAAGGAAUGCUGAUGGUAUAGCAAGAAGGUAUUCUGAGCAUUAUAUCAAUGGGGAAGUUCUAGAUCUUUUGCAAAGCAGGAGCAAGCUGCCCUGUUGUGAGCUCUCCGGUGGAGAGCCCCACAUGGCAAGAAAAUGAGAAGCCCCCUGAACAGACAAGAGCUGAGGCCCAGGAUACAAUAUCCUGAAAAAAACUGAAUCCUGCUGACAGUUGCCCAAGUGAAGCUGGAAGUGGAUCUUUCUGCAGUGGAUCCUUGAGAUGACUGUAGCCCUGGCUGACAACUUGAUUGCUGCCUGUGAAGGACCCUGAACCAGAGGACUCAGCGAAAUUGUGCCCAGAUUCCUGACCUACAGAGGCAGUGAGAUAAUAAAUGCUGUUGAGGUCACAAAGUUUUGAGCCUCCCGAGUAGCUGCUAUUACGGGGGCCUGCCACCAUGCCUGGCUAAUUUUUUUUUUUUUUUUUGUAUUUUUUAGUUGAGACAGGGUUUCAGUACGUUGGCCAGGCUGGUCUCGAACUCCUGACCUUGUGAUCCGCCUGCCUCGGCCUCCCAAAGUGCUGGGAUUAGAGACAUG
rnacentral:lncRNA from 1 species